UAAGCAUAUAAGUAAGCGGAGGAAGCAAAACUAAACAGGAUUCCUUCAGUAAUGGCGAACGAACAAGGAUAUGCUCAGUCUGGGAAUCAGGGUCAAUGGCCUUGAGUUGUAGUCUGCAGAUGCUUUGCCAACGUGGAAGCUGAUGCAAGCCUCUUGGAAAAGAGCAUGAAAAAGGGUGAGAGUCCUGUCUGGCAUCUGCCUUCCCCGUGCACGGCAAGCACUCUACGAGUCACGUUCCUUGGGCCUGGAGCGCAAACUUGGUGGUAAUUUCCAUCUUAAGCCUAAUACGCGUUCAAGACCGAUAGCAAACAAGUACCAUGAGGGAAAGGUGAAAAGGACUUUGAAAAGAGUGUUAAAAGUGUCUGAAAUUGCUGAGGUGAAAGCGAAAGGAGUCAAUGCUGUUCGGUGAGAUUGCCGUGCACAUAUGCAUGCGUCUGCCACUGCAACGCAAGUGCUGUAGUAGAUCGUGUGCACGUGUGUGCGGUGCUACUCCCUGCACAUGUUGCUGUCAGUCUGCUGCUGUGAAAAAUGCCUGGUGCAUGGUGCGUUGCCCAGUGUGACUGAAUGCAUUAGGCUGAGCACAGCUGCUUUCUGAUCUAUUCGUGUCUUGCUGCAAUGAUCUGCGGUGCAAGUGCUUUCUUGAAGGGUUUGAUCCUUCUGACGGCACCGUAACUGUGGGCCAUAUGCUUGAUGCAACAGCAGCAACAAAGUGGACCUUUUCGACCCGUCUUGAAAC
rnacentral:rRNA from 1 species